rnacentral:rRNA from 1 species
UACGUAGGGGGCAAGCGUUGUCCGGAAUCAUUGGGCGUAAAGCGCGUGUAGGCGGUCCGGUAAGUCGGCUGUGAAAGUCCAGGGCUCAACCCUGGGAUGCCGGUCGAUACUGCCGGACUAGAGUUCGGAAGAGGAGAGUGGAAUUCCCGGUGUAGCGGUGAAAUGCGCAGAUAUCGGGAAGAACACCCGUGGCGAAGGCGGCUCUCUGGGACGGUACUGACGCUGAGACGCGAAAGCGUGGGGAGCGAACAGG